UACGUAGGGUGCAGGCGUUAUUCGGAAUUACUGGGCGUAAAGCGUGCGCAGGCGGUCUGCUAAGUGAGGUGUGAAAUCCCCGGGCUUAACCUGGGAACUGCGCUUGUAACUGGCAGGCUUGAGUGUGGCAGAGGGGGGUGGAAUUCCACGUGUAGCAGUGAAAUGCGUAGAGAUGUGGAGGAACACCGAUGGCGAGGGCAGCCCCCUGGGCUAACACUGACGCUCAUGCACGAAAGCGUGGGGAGCAAACAGG
rnacentral:rRNA from 1 species